AGUCGAGCGGACAGAAGGGAGCUUGCUCCCGGAUGUUAGCGGCGGACGGGUGAGUAACACGUGGGUAACCUGCCUGUAAGACUGGGAUAACUCCGGGAAACCGGAGCUAAUACCGGAUAGUUCCUUGAACCGCAUGGUUCAAGGAUGAAAGACGGUUUCGGCUGUCACUUACAGAUGGACCCGCGGCGCAUUAGCUAGUUGGUGGGGUAAUGGCUCACCAAGGCGACGAUGCGUAGCCGACCUGAGAGGGUGAUCGGCCACACUGGGACUGAGACACGGCCCAGACUCCUACGGGAGGCAGCAGUAGGGAAUCUUCCGCAAUGGACGAAAGUCUGACGGAGCAACGCCGCGUGAGUGAUGAAGGUUUUCGGAUCGUAAAGCUCUGUUGUUAGGGAAGAACAAGUGCGAGAGUAACUGCUCGCACCUUGACGGUACCUAACCAGAAAGCCACGGCUAACUACGUGCCAGCAGCCGCGGUAAUACGUAGGUGGCAAGCGUUGUCCGGAAUUAUUGGGCGUAAAGGGCUCGCAGGCGGUUUCUUAAGUCUGAUGUGAAAGCCCCCGGCUCAACCGGGGAGGGUCAUUGGAAACUGGGAAACUUGAGUGCAGAAGAGGAGAGUGGAAUUCCACGUGUAGCGGUGAAAUGCGUAGAGAUGUGGAGGAACACCAGUGGCGAAGGCGACUCUCUGGUCUGUAACUGACGCUGAGGAGCGAAAGCGUGGGGAGCGAACAGGAUUAGAUACCCUGGUAGUCCACGCCGUAAACGAUGAGUGCUAAGUGUU
rnacentral:rRNA from 1 species